CCUAACACAUGCAAGUCGAACGCCGUAGCAAUACGGAGUGGCAGACGGGUGAGUAACACGUGGAACGUACCUUCGGUUCGGAAUAACUCAGGGAAACUUGAGCUAAUACCGGAUACGUCGCGAGAGCAGAAAGAUUUAUCGCCGAAAGAUCGGCCCGCGUCCGAUUAGCUAGUUGGUGAGGUAAUGGCUCACCAAGGCGACGAUCGGUAGCUGGUCUGAGAGGAUGAUCAGCCACACUGGGACUGAGACACGGCCCAGACUCCUACGGGAGGCAGCAGUGGGGAAUAUUGGACAAUGGGCGAAAGCCUGAUCCAGCCAUGCCGCGUGAGUGAUGACGGCCUUAGGGUUGUAAAGCUCUUUCGCCAGGGACGAUAAUGACGGUACCUGGAUAAGAAGCCCCCGGCUAACUUCGUGCCAGCAGCCGCGGUAAUACGAAGGGGGCUAGCGUUGUUCGGAUUUAC
rnacentral:rRNA from 1 species